UCAAGCAAAAAAGAGCGCAGGGUGGAUGCCUUGGCACUAAGAGCCGAUGAAAGACGUGAUAAGCUGCGAAAAGCUACGGGGAGGAGCAAAUAUCCUUUGAUCCGUAGAUGUCUGAAUGGGGAAACCCACAUGAGCAUACCUCAUGUAUCCAUACGCCAAUCCAUAACGUAUGGAGGGGAACCCGGUGAACUGAAACAUCUAAGUAGCCGGAGGAAGAGAAAGAAACAUCGAUUUCCAAAGUAGCGGCGAGCGAAAUGGAAAGAGGCCAAACCGGAAUGCGUGCAUUCCGGGGUUCGGACCGCAUAAUUGAUUCAUUGAUCCUAGCAGAAAGGUUUUGGGAAAGCCUGCCAGAGAGGGUGAAAGCCCCGUAAGCGAAAGGAAAGAUGACAUGGCGGUAUCCAGAGUACAUCGAGACACGAGAAACCUUGAUGGAAUGAGCGGGGACCACCCCGUAAGCCUAAAUACUCCUUAGUGACCGAUAGCGCAUAGUACUGUGAAGGAAAGGUGAAAAGGACCCCGGGAGGGGAGUGAAAGAGAACCUGAAACCCUGUGUUUACAAGCUGUGGGACAUCUUUACAUGAUGAACCGCGUACUUUUUGUAGAACGGUCCGGCGAGUUGCGGAUGCCGGCAAGGUUAAGCACUUAAGGUGUGGAGCCGAAGGGAAACCAAGUCUGAAGAGGGCGCAUAUAGUCAGUAUCCGCAGACCCGAAACCGGGUGAUCUACCCAUGUCCAGGUUGAAGUUGCCGUAAAAGGCAAUGGAGGACCGAACGCACAUCCGUUGAAAAGGGUGGCGAUGAGGUGUGGGUAGGGGAGAAAUUCCAAUCGAACCCGGAGAUAGCUGGUUCUCCUCGAAAUAGCUUUAGGGCUAGCCUCGUUUUAGUCUUAUGGAGGUAGAGCACUGAAUUUCCGCGGGGGCGUCAAAGCUUACCAAAGAAUAUCAAACUCCGAAUGCCAUGUAGAUGAUGAACGGGAGUCAGACUGCACGAGAUAAGUUGGGCAGUCAAAAGGGAAAGAGCCCAGACCGCCAGCCAAGGUCCCAAAGUGUGUGUUAAGUGGAAAAGGAUGUGGGAUCUCCAAGACAACUAGGAUGUUGGCUCAGAAGCAGCCACACAUUCAAAGAGUGCGUAACAGCUCACUAGUCGAGAGGUCCUGCGCCGAAAAUGUCCGGGGCUGAAACACAACACCGAAGCUGCGGAAUUGCGAAUGCAAUUGGUAGAGGAGCAUUCUUAAUGCCGACGAAGCUGUACCGGAAGGAGCAGUGGAGGGAUAAGAAGAGAGAAUGCCGGAAUGAGUAGCGAGAGAGAGGUGGGAAUCCUCUCGGCCGAAUAUCCAAGGUUUCCAGAGUAAAGCUGAUCUGCUCUGGGUAAGUCGGGGCCUAAGGCGAGGUCAAAAGACGUAGCCGAUGGACAACAGGUUUAGAUUCCUGUACCGCAUAUAAACAGAACUGUGGGGACGCAUGGGGAGAGCAUGGGCCGGGAAUGGAAAUACCGGUGCAAGCGAAGGAGGUGUGCAGCCGGCAAAUCCGCUGCAUGAGCCGAAAGCGUGACGCGGAGCGAAAUGAAAGUAGCGAAGCAUGUGAGCCCUGUGCCGAGAAAAGCCGCUAUUGCUUUAUAUGUGCCCGUACCGUAAACCGACACAGGUGGAUGAGGAGAGAAUCCUAAGGCCGGCGGAAGAAGUAUUGUUAAGGAACUCGGCAAAAUGACCCCGUAACUUCGGGAGAAGGGGUGCCCACGGGAGUGGGCCGCAGAGAAUAGGCUCAAGCAACUGUUUAGCAAAAACACAGGUCUAUGCGAAACCGAAAGGUGAAGUAUAUGGGCUGACGCCUGCCCGGUGCUGGAAGGUUAAGAGGAGAGGUCAGCGCAAGCGAAGCUUUGAAUUUAAGCCCCAGUAAACGGCGGCCGUAACUAUAACGGUCCUAAGGUAGCGAAAUUCCUUGUCGGGUAAGUUCCGACCCGCACGAAAGGCGUAAUGAUUUGAGCACUG
rnacentral:rRNA from 1 species